UGGGGCCAGAGGAGCCCAGCAGGAGCUACAGAGGACAGGCUGAGGCUUUUCCAGGCCCAGAUAUAGACCCUGCAGCUGGAGGGGGUCAUAUAGGCCAAGGCGUCCCGCUUCCUCACCGGCCUCCUGCUUCCUCAAGGGAGGCUUUGCCUUCCUCAGCAAUUCAUCCCCAGGGCCAGAUCCUGCCAGCCCUGGUUCCCGCUCCCCAGGGGUUCCCCGUUCCCUCACUUUCCUCCCACCAUCCCGGCUCAAGAAGAGGACCCAUGACCUUGGAGGCCACACACCCGCUGUUGAGAGUCCUGCUGGUACUCCUGGCCUCAGGCAAGGGUGAAUCCUACCAUGUUUAUGAUGACGUCCAAAAGGAGAAAACCACUGUGAUUCAAGGGAAAGACAAGAUCUUGCACAAGGCACUCUGCAUCUGCCCUUGGCCAGGGAAGGGUGGCAUGGAGCCUCUCCGGCUGCUCAUCUUACUCUUUGCCACAGAACUGUCUGGAGCCCACAACACCACAGUGUUCCAGGGCGUGGAGGGCCAGUCCCUGCAGGUGUCCUGCCCCUAUGACUCCAUGAAGCACUGGGGGAGGCGCAAGGCCUGGUGCCGCCAGCUGGGCGAGAAGGGCCCAUGCCAGCGUGUGGUCAGCACGCACAAUUUGUGGCUGCUGUCCUUCCUGAGGAGGCGGAAUGGGAGCACAGCCAUCACAGAUGAUACCCUGGGCGGCACUCUCACCAUUACACUGCGGAAUCUACAACCCCACGAUGCGGGCCUCUACCAGUGCCAAAGCCUCCAUGGCAGUGAGGCUGACACCCUCAGGAAGGUCCUGGUGGAGGUGCUGGCAGGUGAGUGGGCAGUGGCUGCCUCUCUGGCCUGCCCCUGUUCCAAGCCUCAUGUUUUGGGCGUCUGUGUGCAGAACCACCCACUGGGCUCUCAGGAAUCCUGGGAAAACCCAUCGUGUGGGUCUCAUCUCCCUACUCAGGGCUACCAAGGAUUGUUGUGCAGGUUGCUCACUGCACAAGAGGGCCAAAAUCCAGCCCUCAGCCUGGACUCCUUUUGCCAGACUGUGUUCCCUGGUGCAGAGCUGCAUCACCUGCAAGAAGGGCACCUUUCUCUACUUUGCAUUAAGGCACUCCGUGAACUAGCCUGGCCUUGGCCCUGCUUGCCCAAACAGCUUUAUCCAUCUCCAUCCAGUUAGCAUGUGAACAUCAUGGGAGGUCCUUAAGGAGGAGGAGGAGAUUAAUUUAUUCCCUCACCAACCGACCAAUGGUCCUAUCAACGUAAGUGAAGCACCAACCCGGUACAGAAAAUCACCCCUAGAAAAGUACACUGCUUGUGCUGGGCAAUGUGCUUCACUUCUCUGGGCCUCCAUUCUCUCAUCUGUAAAUGGAGAGGGUGGUGUCUGUCCUGCUGACCCCACAGGGUUCCGGUGAGUUUUUGUUGUGGGGGAGGGCAGUUGGGGGCAGGGUGUGACAUGUGCUCCAAGCCUCCUGCUACCGAACUGCCUUGGGAUCGCCACUGCAGGUGGGAGUAGGUGGGCCAGGGUGUCUCUUUCCAUCCCUGAGCUUUGCGCAGGGACCACCCUCCAAGAAGGCCUUCUGCUUGAGUCUUCAGAACACAACUGUGUCCCCAAAGGAGAACAAAUCUGGGGCUACAGAGGCUGUUUCUGACUCUCCUCUUUUCCAACCCCUUCUCCCAGUAUGGCUCUUUACCAUGGAAAUGAGGUCAGGAGUAGUAUUUGCCUGACGUGGGGAGGUCAGGCGAGACUGCCAGCCCUAGACACAAACCCCACCUCCACCACUUUUCUAAGGAUGGCAGGUGGCAGUGAACUCCCUUAACCAACUCCCAAGAGGGAGACAGAAAAAUAAAAGUAACCCAUAGCUUGUGUAGAUAGAUUGACAGUUUAGAUAGGAUUUUCAAGUACAUCCACGAUUGCAUUCGCUCUUCUUAGCCCCUGUGCAGAAGGAGUGGGGAGUUGCAGUUACCGAGCUCCGACAUGGUGCUACACACUGCCCAGAGGUGCCCUCAUGGAAUCCUGGUAACCCUGCUAUUAAGAAAGUAUUCCUAACUGCCCACUUUAUAAGUGGGGAAAUUGAGGCUUAUGGAGUGUAAUGACUUGAUCCACAUAGGACCAGUGCCCAGGCGACCUCACCCCACCCAUAAAGGUUCUCCCCCUGCCUUGAGGAGGAAGGGGCUGGAGGCUCAUGGCUUUGCCUCCCAUAGACCCGCUGGAUCACCGGGAUGCUGGAGAUCUCUGGGUCCCCGGGGAGUCUGAGAGCUUCGAGGAUGCCCAUGUGGAGCACAGCAUCUCCAGGAGCCUCUUGGAAGGAGAAAUCCCCUUCCCACCCACUUCCAUCCUUCUCCUCCUGGC